CCGUAAUGUUGCAGCUCAAAGCAGCUUUUCUAGCUCAGUUCAUUCUGACAUUCAGCUAAUGAAUCAACACAGCAGAUGGUGAUCCAUGCUGUGGAAGUCUCACAUCUCCUGAUUUAAUGGAGCUGCUUUGCACUUUUUACACUGUUUAUUCACCAACACUUUAUUUAAUAAAAGUCCCAUCUAGUUUUUAUGAGGAAUGUGGUGUUUUAAUUUCUCUGUGAAUAACUGCAGUCUAAUGCAACAGCUGGAGUUGUAACAUCUGUCCUGAUAUUGAUCAUGAAGUAUUGAUCAGAAUACUUAUGGUCAGCAGUCAUCCCUGAAGUUUUACAUUAAAAUCUUUACUUGUGUUGUGAACUUUGGCAAGAAGCAGAAACGUUAGUGUUGCCAUGGAUACAUGAGUGUUAAAUUCUGUCCAUGUUUUAUUUUGGGAAUGCAGUCCAGUUCCAGAAUGUGGAGGAAUUUAUUCUCAAUCACAGACAACAAAUAUUAUCUGAAAGUUGGGUUAUUGUUGUUUAUCAGCACAAUACAAAAAGAUUAAUGUUAGAAAUAUUCCAGUUCAGACUCUAGAAUAUCAUGAUUUAUGUAAAUUUACCUCAAUAAUAUGAAUGUUCAGGUUAAGAUUGUACAGUGAUAUUUAUUAUGUAAGUUUAGCUGAUUAAAGUUUAAGACUCUGCACCAAAAUAUUAUUUAAAUUGACAGCAAUAUUAUUUGACACAAAUCUAUCUAAAUCAAAAUUUUAAUAAUUUUCACACCAAACAUUUACUGGACUGAUUUAAACAUUAAAAUCACUCCUUUCUAAUCCUCUGCUGUAUGUUCAAACCUGAGGCCUUAAAUAGAAACACACAAGUAUCUGAUUGAAGGAACUUCUGCAGAGUCUUGGUUCCAGAACAUGAUGAUAGAAUUAUAGACAAACUUUAACAAAAGCUGCAUGAGAGUUUACAGGUUUUUAUGUUGGAUUUCUUCAGUAAUUUAAUGAGUUAUCAGCAAAAAUCAAGUGUUUAUUUGAUGAACUUCAUUUCCUAAAACAUCCAGAAUUGGAGCUCAUAUCUUUGGCAGCUGUAAAGUUUCUGCUCCUUCAAAGUUCACAACACAAUGAAUGAAUUCCUAAAACACUCUCAAUGCUGGAGAGCGUUUGAUGCUGAAGCAGUGACCAGUUUUUCUGUUUCUUCUCUGGAGAUGCACAAUGAGGGACGUCUGCAGAGACUGAGAAAGAGUCUCACCACAUCCUGACAUGAGGAAAAAGACUUUAUUGAAGACUACAAUGAGAAAAACUAUCAGACAGCAGACGGCUGCAUUCAAGUCUGUAGGUGCUGAAUUCAUGGAUGAAUCAUCUGGCACUAGAGAAGAAGACCAUCAAACAUCCACGUCAGCUGAUGGAGGUCCAAGAGUCUCACCAAACAACCUACAGAGUGAAGACCUCGAAUCUGAUUGGACGGCCUCCUAUUCAGCCACAUGUGUGAACAAAUGCCUCUAAGUUGAUUUGUUUUCUAAAAUAAAUCUAGUUUGAGUUCUAA